rnacentral:rRNA from 1 species
GACGUAGGGCGCGAGCGUUGUCCGGAUUUAUUGGGCGUAAAGAGCUCGUAGGCGGUGUGUCGCGUCGGUCGUGAAAACUUGGGGCUUAACCCUGAGCUUGCGGUCGAUACGGGCAUCACUGGAGUUCGGCAGGGGAGACUGGAAUUCCUGGUGUAGCGGUGAAAUGCGCAGAUAUCAGGAGGAACACCGGUGGCGAAGGCGGGUCUCUGGGCCGUAACUGACGCUGAGGAGCGAAAGCAUGGGGAGCGAACAGG